UGAGUUAAAUAAUAACUGAGUGGACUUUAUUUUAAUUUGCCAUUGUUCGUGAAGACAGUCAUUAGUUUUAAAUGUGAUUAGACAACCCUCCACAGAAGCCUUUGGGAACAAAAUUAAAUUUUGUAGAGACAGGGAGUCUCACUUUGUUACCCAGGCUGGUCUCAAAUUACUGGGCUCAAGCAAUCCUCCUGCUUCAGCCUCUCAAAGUGCCAGGAUUACAGGUAUGAGCCACCAAGUCCUACCAGAAUUUGCAUUUUGGAGUAUGCACCAUUAAACAGUUUAACUCUUCAGUUGAUCUCUUUUUAAAAAUCAAUUGUUCAGCAUCUGUGGAAUCUGAUUGUGAUGUGGUCAGGGACAGAAUGGGACUAAAAUGAGAAUAACCAUGCCAGACUCUUCAGGACACAACCUGGCUAUGGGAGGCUGAUUGUGUUUGCAUGGAGACACUAACUCCAAGUGGAUGGAUGACACCACUGGGACACUGUUGCUCAUGGACCACAGACAGUGGCGCUGGGACACCAAUGCUCAGACUAUAGAUGGUGGUGAUGGGACACCAUUGCUCAUGGACUGCAGACAGUGCUACGAGGACACCGAUGCUCAUGGACUACAGAUGCUGCUCUGAAGUGCUCUGCACUUUACUUUUCUCUAGUUCAUUUCCAAACGGGCCAAUUUCAAAAUUAUAAUUGAAAAGAGUAACUUGAAAACAGAUACUCCCAGCCAUGCCCUUGCCUCAAGACAUCUGCCGUCUCCCUGGCCUCUGAGGCAGGGUGGGAAGACACCGCCACCCCAUUCCAUAGGUGAAGAGCUCUUUCAUGGGGUACAUGCGCAUCCCACUCCUUGCUCGGCUCAGCACAAGCUCAGCAUUGCCAGAGAGAAAAACUGGAAGACAGAGACAAACAAAACAACAACUGGUAGGUGGGUGCUUGUGAUAAGUUAAAGAUAGGAAACCAGGGAACGCUGUGGGCUGCCACCCCAGGGGCUUGGUCGCCACCAAGAGUGAAGGAGGAACAACAGGGAGAGGAUAUGCACCAGAGUCCCCAUCGCCAGCCUAAGCAGGAGCACAGGAGCAACAGCGUUUGAUGCUUUCCUACAAGAGGCUGAAGAAGGAAACAAGUUGCUGAGGUUUUGAAGAAUCGUGGGUCGCAUUUCCUUGGAUCAGCUAAGCCCCGAACAGAUCCCUAAAGCAACUGGGCUUCUGGUCCUAUUUCACCUUCAAAGAGAAUCAAUCCUACCCUUCCAUCCUGAACAGUCUUCUAGGCUCAAGCACUCUGAAUUUUCCUAUCGUGGCUGGAGCUAUCGAUUUGGUGCUAGUCUCACUCUCUUUGUCAACCUCUCUUGUGCAUUUAUUAAUACAAACUUAUUAUUUUUUCCUAACUUAGUUUUUAACGUGAUUACAUUCACAGAUUUUUUAAAAGUUGAUCUGCUCUUGAAUUCCUGGUUUUAUUCUAUGUAAUUAUCAGUAUUUUUUUUCAGAAAUGGUCUCUUUUUAUUUGAAUGGUUGAUCUAGGACUCAGCCUAAAUAUUAUUCUAAUACGUAGCUGUACAUAACCAACAUGUCUAUGAUGUUAGUGAUGAACCAGAACCAACACAGAGAUGGUCUUUGCCUGAUAAAAGAUAAUCACAAUCCGAAAUAAAAUUACUAGGUAAAAUACAGGAUGCCUAGUUAAAUUUGAGUAUCAGAUAAACAAUGAAACAUUUUUAGUUACAUGUCCCAUGUAAUAUUUGUACUAAAUACUUAUACUAAAUUGUAAAGGACAUACUUAUACUAAAUUGUAAAGGACAUCCUUAUACUAAAGGAAAGCAUUGCUUAUCUGAAAUUCACAUUUAACUGGUUGUCCUAUAUUUUUAUUUGUUAAAUGUGGCAAUCUUAAUCAUAAACAAAUAAGCAAACAAGUAUAAGUCUUAGAAAAGAAUAAAUCAAUUUUUAAAUGAAUGCAUUUAGUGUUGUCAGGGAAUAAUUACAAUAUGUCAGCAAACCUUGGCAACCAUUGGAAUCCCGUUUCUGAAAAUUACAGUGUAGUGUGAAGUAGAAAAUAACAACGAUGGUUUUAACUCAUAUGAAACAUAGAAAAAAUUCAGAAACAAACUAGAUUUAUUGGUUUUAAGGAAAAGAAGCCAGAACAACUACCAGAAUACUGUUCUGUUAGGUAACUCUUCUUUUAACCACCUUCUUUAAUUACUCAGGAAAUAUUUCUGUGUUUUCCUCAACAACUGGAGUAGAUUUUCCCAUGAGUUUUAUGUUACACAAAGUUUAGUUAUUUUUAAAGUUAUCAAAUCAGCUCUUACUGGCUUGAAGUUAAGUAUCCAUGGAACUUGUAUUUCCUUUGUUUUCCUUUCAAAUGUCUCCCCAAAAUGCUUGUAACUGUGUAUCCUU
rnacentral:lncRNA from 1 species